CAGUCGAGCGGAGAUAGUGGAGCUUGCUCCAUUAUCUUAGCGGCGGACGGGUGAGUAACACGUGGGCAACCUGCCCUGCAGAUCGGGAUAACUCCGGGAAACCGGUGCUAAUACCGAAUAGUUUGCGGCCUCUCAUGAGGCUGCACGGAAAGACGGUUUCGGCUGUCACUGCAGGAUGGGCCCGCGGCGCAUUAGCUAGUUGGUGAGGUAACGGCUCACCAAGGCCACGAUGCGUAGCCGACCUGAGAGGGUGAUCGGCCACACUGGGACUGAGACACGGCCCAGACUCCUACGGGAGGCAGCAGUAGGGAAUCUUCCGCAAUGGACGAAAGUCUGACGGAGCAACGCCGCGUGAGUGAAGAAGGUUUUCGGAUCGUAAAACUCUGUUGUGAGGGAAGAACAAGUACCAACUAACUACUGGUACCUUGACGGUACCUCACCAGAAAGCCACGGCUAACUACGUGCCAGCAGCCGCGGUAAUACGUAGGUGGCAAGCGUUGUCCGGAAUUAUUGGGCGUAAAGCGCGCGCAGGCGGUCCUUUAAGUCUGAUGUGAAAGCCCACGGCUCAACCGUGGAGGGUCAUUGGAAACUGGGGGGACUUGAGUGCAGAAGAGGAAAGUGGAAUUCCACGUGUAGCGGUGAAAUGCGU
rnacentral:rRNA from 1 species